GAUGAACGCUGGCGGCGUGCCUAACACAUGCAAGUCAAGCGGGAUUCAUGAGGACGAAACUUCGGUCUAGAAAUCAUGAUGAGAGCGGCGGACGGGUGAGUAACGCGUAGGCAACCUGCCCUUAGCACAGGGAUAGCCUCGGGAAACCGGGAUUAAAACCUGAUAAUGCCAAACAGUCACAUGGCUGUUUGGCCAAAGAUUUAUCGGCUAAGGAUGGGCCUGCGUCUGAUUAGUUAGUUGGUGGGGUAACGGCCUACCAAGACGACGAUCAGUAGCCGCCCUGAGAGGGUGAUCGGCCACAUUGGAACUGAGACACGGUCCAAACUCCUACGGGAGGCAGCAGUGGGGAAUAUUGCACGAUGGGCGAAAGCCUGAUGCAGCAACGCCGCGUGGGCGAUGAAGGCCUUUGGGUCGUAAAGCUCUGUCCUAGGGGACGAACAAAAUGACGGUACCCUUGGAGGAAGCCCCGGCUAACUACGUGCCAGCCGCCGCCGUAAGAC
rnacentral:rRNA from 1 species